rnacentral:misc_RNA from 1 species
GGCGCACAAGAGGGACUGACUGAAAAAAGGACCUUCCUUUAAGCCAAGCCGCAGCUGCAAAACCAUACAACAAGGCAGAGGCAGAGGCAGAGUGAGACGAGCGGCAAGAGACCUUGUCGACGGGUCACUUCUCAGCCGGCGCGGCCGCCUCCCCCUCCCCCUCGGCGGGCGGCUUGUCGGCCUCCGCGGACAGUGCCUCCUGACGCGCCCGUAGGACGGCGAGGACGUUGACGGCGGGCAUCUGCAGGCAUCCGAGGAGGUACUGGUAGGACUGCGCCCUGGUGGGCAUGUUCUCGAGCUGCGCGAAGUCGUCGGGCCCGUAGAGCCGUCCCUCGUAGACGGCGCCGGUGAAGUCGUUGAGCUGCAGCUUCCACUCCUUCUGGAAGUCGCGGUAGGGCUUGAGCGCCGGCGGGAUCUCGUCGGAGCGCACGAACAGCCACGCGUUCAUGCCCCGCGCGCACGGCCUCAGCGCCUCCCACCGGGUGCCCGCCACCGCCGCCGCCAUGUCCGAGUUCUUCGCCACCACCAGCCGCGCCGCGUCGGGCAGCGACGCGCGGAUGCUCCGCAGCUGCGCCACCGUGAACCCGUGGCACCAGAUGCCCGCCAGCAGCUGGCACCCGUCCAGCUCGCGCCGCAGUGCCUCCUGCCGGACCAGCCCCGACAUCCCGCGGAUCGACGGGGUUAACGACGCGGCACAGCUGCGCACGGACGUCAUCGGCGGCGGAGGCGGCGAGGGUUCUGCCUGGGAUGCGAGUGUGCUGUGUGCGUGUGAUCUCUUGC